GUCAACGUAGCUAAAUCUAUAGCGCAGCACUGAAGACGCUGAGAUGAAACAUUAAAAUUUCCGCCGACA
rnacentral:tRNA from 1 species